AUUGAACGCUGGCGGCGUGCUUAACACAUGCAAGUCGAUCGGUAACGCGGGGGCAACCCUGGCGACGAGAGGCGGACGGGUGAGGAACGCUUGGGAAUCUGCCCUUCAGCGGGGGACAACCCGGGGAAACCCGGGCUAAUACCGCAUACGCUCCACGGAGGAAAGCCGGGGACCGCAAGGCCUGGCACUGAAGGAUGAGCCCAAGUCGGAUUAGCUAGUUGGCGGGGUAACGGCCCACCAAGGCGACGAUCCGUAGCUGGUCUGAGAGGACGAUCAGCCACACUGGGACUGAGACACGGCCCAGACUCCUACGGGAGGCAGCAGUGGGGAAUAUUGGACAAUGGGCGAAAGCCUGAUCCAGCGACGCCGCGUGGGUGAAGAAGGCCUGCGGGUUGUAAAGCCCUUUCGGUAGGGACGAAAGCCUCCGACCUAACACGUCGGGGGGUUGACUUAACCUACAAAAGAAGCACCGGCUAACUCUGUGCCAGCCGCCGCAGUAAAAC
rnacentral:rRNA from 1 species